AUACCAUGGUUUGACCAUUUUCUCAUCAGUUCAUUAAACCUAUUCCAUGCCUCGUGAUAUCUUUCUCCAUCUUUCUGUUGAAAAGGUUGAAUCUCCAAUCUGAUUUU
rnacentral:snoRNA from 1 species